rnacentral:rRNA from 1 species
GACGAACGCUGGCGGCGUGCUUAACACAUGCAAGUCGAACGAAGUGGCGAACGGGUGAGUAACGCGUAAUCAACCUGCCCUUCAGAGGGGGACAACCGUUGGAAACGACUGCUAAUACCGCAUACUGAAGGAGGGGAUUGCGUUUGAUUAGCGAGUUGGAGGGGUAACGGCCCACCAAGGCGAUGAUCAGUCGCCGGGCUGAGGGGAGGAACGGCCAAAUUGGGACGGAGACACGGCCCAGACUCCUACGGGAGGCAGCAGGGGGGAAGCUUCCGCAAUGGACGAAAGUCUGACGGAGCAACGCCGCGUGAGGGAUGACGGCCUUCGGGUUGUAAAGCUCUGUUAAUCGGGACGCGGUACCGGAAGAGAAAGCCACGGCUAACUACGUGCCAGCAGCCGCGGUAAUUC